GACAGAGGGGGCAAGCGUUGUCCGGAGUUACUGGGCGUAAAGGGCGCGGAGGCGGUCUGCGGCGUCGGCGCUGAAAGGGCCCCGCUUAACGGGGCGAGGCGUGCCGAUACCCGCAGACUUGAGGCGAGCAGAGGGUGGUGGAAUUCCGGGUGGGGCGGUGAAAUGCGUAAAGAUCCGGAGGAACGCCAGUGGGGAAGCCGGCCACCUGGGCUCGGCCUGACGCUGGGGGGCGACAGCGUGGGGAGCAAACCGG
rnacentral:rRNA from 1 species